GAAUGUAGCUCAGUUGGUAGAGCGCUUGCAUCGCAUGCACAAGGCCCUGGGUUCAAACCCUAGCAUCA
rnacentral:tRNA from 1 species